UUUUUUUUUUUUUUUUUUUUUUUUUUGGUCAAUUAGCAACACCACCCUAUUCGCGUGCUAAUAUAUUAUUAUAUAUAUAGUAGAAGAAACUUUCAGAUUUAAGUCAAGGGAGCUAAAGAUAAAAAGGAAAAACUUUCAGAUUGCACCCAUUAGAUUUAAUUACAAUUGUAAAGAAUUUUGGAUUUAAUUCUUUCUAGAUUUAAUUACAUCUGCAAGGGAUUCUGAAUUUAACUUGCUCUAGAUUUAAUUACUAUUAUAAGAUAUUUUGAAUGUAGCUGUUAACGUGCGAAUUUUAUGUAGUCACAAUUAUAUAUUUCUUAGUUGUGAAAAAAAAAUGAAUUUUUGAAAAUAGAAUAUUGUCAAGUGCUAGCACCACUUGAGUACAGGGUAAGAAGGCACACUUGAGACGAGCCAAUCUUUUUAUUUUGGCCAAAGAUUAAUUGCCAAAAACUGAAAAUUCCCGCAAAUAGCAAAUAACAUAGGGUUGCAUUCAUAACUACCCCAAUCCGUUGCCAGAGAAAAGGUGACCAAGAAAAUUCUUGUAAACAAAAGGGUAAAAUACCAAAAAAAGCUCCACGUGAUUUGAUAAAUAUUCAAUUUAACUCCCUCUGAUUUAGAAACCUAUACUAUAACUCUCUGCGAUGUUGACUAAAUUGAAAGAUCCAAUCCAACGAUUGUGUGUGAAAUGUAAAUAUUGCCCCUGUUAUAUGUAAGAUGCUUUCUAUUCAAUUUUUAAUUUAGUCGAAAUCACAGAAAUUUAUAGUAUAAUUUUUUAAAUUAAAGGGAGUUAAAUAAAUAUUCGACAAAUCAUAGAGAGUUCAUUUAUAUAGGGGUCAUAUUGACAUUUCACGUAUAAUCGUUAGAUUGGACACUUUUAGUCCAAUUUUUAAAUUAGUUAAAAUCACGGAGAGUUAUAGUGUAAGUUUUCAAAUUAGAGGAAGUUAAAUUAAACAUUUAAUAAAUCACAAAGAAUUUUUUUUGUAUUUUAUCGUAAACAAAAAAGGCUUUACAUUUACUAGAUAUAAGCAUAUCCUUGCCUUGGCAAGCCGCGCCAACUUGUUUUUUCUGGAUUUUGACUCAAAUACGCAGCAAUGGUAACUUUUUUGUCCUGAACGUUCAAUUCAACUGAGCAAGAGGCUAGGCAUACGAUCAGGAGCUUUUCAAAGGGAUGUCUAGAAAAGGAACAGACUGUUUUAAUGAUGCUCCUAAUAAUUGCUGAAGCAAAAUUUGCUUAGGACUAAUAUGGGCUUUGGGCAAUUAAGAAUUUUAUGAUUGCCCCUGCUCUGAAUUAGGCCCUCUCCAUUCCCUCGUUAAAAUCCUGCACCAACACUUUUCUUCUCCCAAGCCAUUUUCAAUUUUCCGCUGCAACAAGAUAAAGUGAUAAACCUCCGUCCCAAACCCCCCUUCUCCCCCAGUUCAAAGUCCCCGCGCGCAGCCCCUUAUCUAAUUGCCGUUCAAGGUAUAUUUUUGCUCUGACCUCUUCUUCUGUACUUGUAUAGUGUCUUUUUUACUUAUCUGGAUAUGCAUGUAAGGUGAAGAACACUAUUUUGGUGAUAUGUGCAAUUAGACAUGUGAUAAACGUUCAGCAAAAUUUGUAUGGGUCUAUGGAGUAACUGAAAUAAGCCCUCUUGGGUUUCCUCUCUUGGCUGUGCUUGCUUACUAAAAAGAUUGAAUUUUGAGGCUGUGGAAACCAGUAAUUGUAGUCCAUCUCUCGUUCACUGAGAUAAAUUAAAGGUCAGCUGUCUUUUCGGCUGCUUAAUUGAAAUAGAGUAGGAAAAGAGAUAAAUUUAUAUCAACAGUUGCAAUCUGCUAAAACUGAAUUUGUGAAUUUACUGUCAAGGGCUGGAGCAAAGCUGAAAAACUACGGAAUUUGAGUAUGAUUGAUUAGUUUGUUGACAAACUUUACUGGGUACUAGGUAACUAAAUUGGUGAAUUUACUGUCAAGGGAUGGUGCAAAGCUGAAAAACUACGGAAGUUGAGUAUGAUUGAUUAGUUUCUUGACAAACUUUGCUGGGUACUAGGUAAGAGCUUGGCUACAUUGGUUUACUUGGCAAGCCAAGCCGGAGAUUGGGUCAAAUCAAAUGGCAUUAGAAUUUUCAUUUGUUAGCUCGUUGAGCUGUUCUUAAUUUUUAAACUAGUAUAAGAUGUGUUCAACCUUCUUUUAUUUGCUUGAACCAUCCUUGGGAGUAUUCAUGGCUUGAGUUUGAAUUUCUUGAUUCAUUGAAUUACCUGAAGGGUUCUUUUCUUUUUUUUUUUAAUUAGUUUGCCGCAAAAACUGAAAGAGAAAGGGCAGGGUCUCAAAUGGGAAGUGGGUAGGGGCAGGGGUGGAAAGUAUUUUAAAGCAACUAUGAUUUAUGCAAAGAAACAAUGCUUUAUUUUAACACCCGUCUAAGCAUCCAAGCAUGUUAGAUGUUGCAAUAGAAAAAAUAUCCUUCGACUUCCUUAGUUGUUUUACAAGUUGAUUUGUUUCCUUUCCUCGCCAAUUUAGAAUGUUGUCUUAUACUUGUCUGCAUCAGUACUUUGCUUCUUUCUUUUUCUGGAUUUGUCAGGGAUAUCAUUUUGUACUAGACUGUUCCUAGCACUAUUUCACUCCAUGUUAGAGUUGAGCUUGAGUUGAGGUGUGUCUUAUCAGGCCAAGCUGAAAUUUGAUGGCAGUCUGUUGUUCAUUGCAAUUUGACAUAUUUUGUUCACUUAUAAAAGUUUUCACAACACCAGGGUUAUAGGUUUUUUGUUGUCUCUACUUAAAAGAAGUAGUGCGUGAGAUGCAUAUGCUUUUCCAAUCAUUCCAUUUCCUAUCUACUGCUGUUUUUCGUCAAGUAGAAAGUUACUGUUUUUAGGAACCAUAGAAAGUGGAGUGCAUCAUUUGGAAAGCGAUCGCAAAUUUAUAAAAGAUACUUUCAACUAUGAGAAUUCUCGAGAAUAGUUGGUCCACUUCCGCUUCUGAUGAAUUGGAAACCAUUAAUUUCGAGAGUCAAUGACUCGGAAGUUGUAUUAGGAUUUCAAAUUUGCAAACAGUUCAGCCCUGAUAUCUUGAUUGUCAUGCUAUAAGCAUUUGCAAGUUGCAACCCUUCUUAUAUGUGUUUACUUAAUAAGAAAUCAGUAGGGGAUGGAGGAAAAUGGCAGAAAAGGAGAAAAGAGGGAGAGGAGCAAUAGAGGAUCUGCCUAGUGUCCAGUAAUUCUAAGGAGUAUUUGAUGAGUACAGUUCCCUUUUGGAACAUUAUCAAGUCAUGCAUAUGAUGGAAUUGUUCAAUGUAAAGCUGGAUCUCCUUUCCUGAUCAUGUGGCUUGUUUUAAUCAGAUUGGCAGAGAGAGAUAAAACUGAACAAAUUUUCUGGCAUGCGGACGGAAAUGCUACGGUAAUGUUAGCAUUUUGUCUCCACCAGUUACUGUGACAAUGCUAAAGAAGUGACGGAUUUUUUACCUCUCCCAUACUUGAAACUGAAGAUCCUCCUUUGCACCUAUAAACUGUGAUAUCAUGAGUUCUAUCUUCUCACCGACCUCUCACCUCCGAGUUGCACCACUAUAUCAUAAAUUAGGAAGUAAUCUACAUCUACAGUCCCUCUGUUGUUGCUUUAAGCUGUGCCAUUUCCUUGGUGGUCGACAGUCUUCAGUUUUGUGUAAAUUCCCAACCAUUUCGCCUAAUCCCAAGCUCAAGUUUCAGUCGACUCUUGGGGGUACAAGUCCUGCAAAUGAAGGAACAGUUUCUGUGAUUAAUUUUGAAGAUUUAAUGGAGAAGGAUUGGUCAUUUCUUGAGCACGAUGAUAAAAAUUCUAAGGAACAGCACAACCAGAAGCAAGAUCAGAUCAUUUCUGCAGGGGAGGUUGGAGAAACUUCAAGGGUUCUAAUUUCAAUUGGUUCUGAAGAGUUUGUUGAUAAAGUUUUUAAUUCUUCACCUUGUGAGCAAUUGCUUGUUGUUCAUGACUCGUUGUUUAUAUUAGCAAGCAUCAAAGAAAAGUAUGACAAAGUGAAGUGUUGGCAAGGCGAAUUAAUUUAUUUACCAGAGAAGUGGGCACCUUUUGAUGUUGUGUUUUUAUAUUUCCUUCCUGCUUUGCCAUUUCAACUUGGCCAGAUUCUGGGAACACUUGCCAAGCAUUGUUUGCCAGGUAAUCUUUAUCACAUCUGCCCUCUUUUUAAGACUUCACAUGCUGUAUUUCAUGUUGGCUUUGCAUCUCUCGUGCAAAAGCCUUAGUGAUCUGUCACUGACUGCAUAAAUUAUAACCUAACCUUACAUUGCUGCACCCGAUGCAACAAUGAAUUUUACUAAAUUGAGGCCCAAGUAUAUCUUUUGUUCUUCCAUGUAUUUUACUUUGAAAACUAAUGAGAUUCUAUAAUGAACUGUAGUAGUCGUUUCUGGUUUGGUGCUUUUGAAAAAUUACUAAAAUACUUGGGAUUGUGUCAUUGUGGGUUGAGAUGAACUUCCUGGAUUAAACUUUAGUAUGAAAAAUUGCUUUGUUCAAUGUUUUUAUGAUAUUUCUCCCGUGCAUUAUCAGGUGCAAGGGUUGUGAUAAGUCAUGUGCAAGGGAGGCAAAUGGUUCAAGAGCAGCAAAAACAAUAUCCUGAUGUAGUAGCCGCAGAGUUGCCAGACAAGACGACUUUGCAAGAUGUUGCUGCUGAUAAUACAUUUGAACUGGUGAAGUUUGUGGAUGAACCUGGAUUUUACCUUGCAGUCCUGAAAUUCCAGACAGAGAACCUUGUUAGAUAGUUUUUACAUGUGCUCAAUUCAAAAAGGUUUUGUAGUGUAUCAAUGGUUGUGCCUGAGUUCCUCGGUACUCUUUAUUGUUCAAAUAGUUAAAGAGUGACGGUUGUUUUUCUUCGCGUUUUUUUUGUGGUACGUUUUGGAUUUUGUAGUUUAUCGACAAUUUUAGACCUUGAAUUCGAUGACAAUUGGAGCUUCAUCAAUCAAUAACUUGGAUUGGACCUCAAACCAUUUUGUGCACCUCUCCUUGAGCUACUACCAUCUCCGAUGCCUGCAAUUUGACCAAUGAUAAUCUUGAAGCACUGGAUCUGCUGAGACAUUGGCCUCGCAUUUUCUUAGCUUUGCAUGCCAACAAUUUUUAGUUCCAAAUAGAGCUGUUAACAAAUCGAGUUGUUCACGAACAAAGCUCGACUUGACUUGUUUAGAGUCGACUUGUUUAAUCUAAGAGCAUGACAUUUGAUUAAGCAAAUCAAGUUCAAACUCCAAAUCAAGAUUGAUUAAUAAUGAAUGAAUGAACAUGAACUUUGUUCACGUACUUUGGUUGCGAUCGUGAAAACAAAAAUUAUAUAAAUGACGUUUAGAGUUGCACACAUCAUUUUCAUCUUUAUCUUAGUAGUAAGCAACCAUGUUUGACUUAACUUGCUUCAUAUUGUUCCCUCCUUUUAUUUCUGCUUCAUGUUCAUCAAUAUUUAAACGUUUCUUUUUAAUCAGAACUAAACUAAAUAAUUUUUUAAACAAAAUUCAUAUUAGAACUCGAGCACAAGUUCGAACUUUCUGUGAAACGGGUCGAGAUUGAAUUGAAUUUGAACUUAUCAGUUCAAUAAGUACAAAAUUAGACGGCCUGUUUAUUUAAGCAAACGAUAAAGCAAAGAAUUUGAUAUUUCAAAUGGCUUAAACAACCAAUAAGAAAUGUGAAAAGCUUGUUUAGAAGAAAGAUGCAGAAGAGUUGGUGCUACUGAAAAUGAUUAUUUGCCUUAAUGGUUUUCAAUGGAGGUGCAAAAUUGGUUCCAAUCACUCCCAACGGCCAUGGUUGCUUACAGCAAAAGGAAGGUACACAGAAGUUAAAUACACGCAGUGUAAAAGUGUUUCUGCAGUUAAAUUUCCCAGAAUAGAUAUGGAAUGCUGGUUCAAAUGCUUGGCUCAGAUUUCAAACAAAACGCACACUGAAUAACUAAUCGCAGUUCUUCUAUAGAAAUUGCAAGAAGGGACACUAUCCCGGGAAAAGCUCCAUUAACUUCAAAAAGUUGAUCUCAUACAGAAAACCUUAAACCAUUCUGCAACAUUCUCAAACUCUCUUUCUACACAAGGAACUCUAAGAAAAACAAACAAAAUAAUUCAAUCAACUAAACCAUAAAAAGAUGCUAAAAUUUUCAGAGGAGGAUUAUUGUAUGGUAAUGACUAGCUUCCAUCACUCAAAGUAGGGACUGAAUCUCAAACAGCCUCCUCACACUUGUAACUCUAUAUAUCAGAAGAAUGAAAACUUUAUCCCAUUACUUGCUGCAAACAAGUUAUAUUCUUCAAUAGAACUUUUCUUAUUGCAAGUUUGAUCACCUUCACUGUGAUCAGCAGAUAAUUUUGAAGAUAAAUCUGUGCCAAUUUCUUCCUUCAAGGAUGCAGGUUCGGACUUCAAACCAGGCGGAACAUCUACAGGGCCACCAAAAUGAAAAAGGGAGAAGCCUGUAUUUCUGACAUCAGAUCCUUCAGUCUUCAAAUUCAUCCCCUUUUUGGCUGUAGCAGGUGUUUCCCUUGGCUGCAGCCCAUUAGAGACCACCCUCUGUACAUUAGCUCCAGCAUGGGUUUCUAUUGUACCACCUACAUUUGAGAUCUUCAUAUGAUCCUUUCCAUUAAUGCCAUUGCUUUGAGCAACAGACUGGAAAACAGGCACAUGACUGCGGUUAAGCAUUUGGGGAGUAGGGUGCUGUAAAGUGCCAUACUGCAUAAGAUGGCUAUUCCCAUUCAAACCAUACCCAAACGGACUAGCAAAUAAAUAAUGAUUGGGAGAGGGAAACGCCAUAAACCCAUUAGUAGGAGCAGCUGGCCAAGAAAGUGGACUUUGAUGGUAGUACCCCAUUGGCGGAGAUUGAAAAAUUGGAAACUGCAUGCUCUGGUUGUGCAAUUGUGGGAGCACAACUUGAGGCUGAGCAUUAAUGCUCAUGUUUGCUCUUCCAUUUUCACUAUUAGCUUUGGAAGACAAAGUACCCCAGGUGUUUGUGGCUGCAUCAUUGACAACCUCGCCUUUGACAUGCUCCACUCCACAUGUAUUCUCCCCUUUUACCAUCCCAGCAUCUUGACAUACAGUGAUGCCACUUUGAAAGCAGACGGAUGUUUCUCUUCCUUCUGAGUUUUGACUAGCAUCAUCUGAAUCUGAUGAAGAUGAAGAUUCAGUGGUUUGAGGAUUUGAAGAUGAUAUGUUGCUGUCUCCCUCACUAAGGCAGGAUGAGCAGUUAUCAGAAUUCGAAGAGCUGCUCAGUGAUGAAUCUAAUGUUGCCUGUAAAGAUCUUGACAUAGGACACAGUUCACCAUCCUCAUCCGUUGCUUCCUUGUAUUGCUGGGAUUUUUCUUUUGGAUGAAACCCAUUUUCACCAUUUCUCUCUGCUUCAGGCUCAGAUUUUAUUACUGCAUGUAAAUCCUUGUCCUCAUGCUUGAUUUGAAUAGUGAUCCCCAUUAAAUUGUCAGAACUGCUAGCAAUAGAAGAUUCAGGAGCUUGAUCAGAUUCAGUAGUUUCACCUUUAAAAGUAGAACAUCUCAAGGUAACAUCAGAGUCUGAGUUACUUCGCGGGUACUUCUGUGAUUCCAUUGGCUCCCAAACUUUCUUGGUAACACUUGAAUCUCGGUUGUAAACAUUGCUCCCAUUGAUAGUUUUGUUCUUGGAUCUUCCACAGUUUUCACGCAUGUAUUCAUUGUGGUUUAUACGGUAGUAGGGCUUAGACAUAUCUGAUACAGAUUCUGACUUAAAGACAGACUUAUUUUCCCUGACCAUUCUUGACAUGUGUGGCUCCACCUUUAAUCGAAAAUCACUGUAUUGAUUGCAGCUGCAUGCAUGAGAUUCAUACCUGUCAUGGAUCCUGUUACUGGAACAAGCAGCCUUCUCACUAUACUUGGGUCCAACAUUUCUGAUAUUGGACUUCACAACAAAAUUUCUUAGUUGCUUAGCUGGCCCAUUAAUGCUCCUCACACUUUCAAAAUUAUCACUGUGAUGUCUUGCUUCAUAUUUGUUAACCAUACUCCCAUUCUCUGAACCAAUCGCAUAUCUCCGCCUGUCAUACCAUUUUGAGUAUGUAUCCUGUUGAAAAUCUUUGCGAAACUUCAGCUUUCGACGAGAAUAUUUCAAGUGAUCAAUCGGGAAGUGACUCAUGCCAUCAUUUGUAUUAGCAAAGUCUCCAUCAGGACUAUCAGACUGAUUUUGCAAAUCUGAGUAAAUGAACUCAUCCAAAAGCUGCUCAUCUUGAAUAUCUGGAGAUAGAGACCCAGAUGGAAUAGCUUCCCCUGUUUCACUGACAAAGUCACCAUUACAGAUAUUAUUUGAUUCCCCAUCAGCAAUAGUUGUUAAUUCAUGCUCUGAAAUUUCAGGACCCUGAGAAUGUUUAGUUGAUUCAGAAUAUUUCUUCUCUCUAUCCUUUUCCUUUUCUCUUAAUCUCUCCUUUCUCCGCAGCUUUUUCUCUCUUUCUUUUGUUCUCCUCCGUUCCUUUCGCUCUUCUUCUUCUCGCUUUUCUUUCUCUUCUUCUUCAAGAAGUUUCAUCUGUCAGACAUUUUAAAAUAGAGGAUCAGGAUAAUAAAUGGUAAAAUUCUGGAGAAUCAACUUUUCCCAGAUUUUUUAAAAUUUUUUAUACCUGCUUUUCUAGAGUAAUGAUCUCCUUGCAUGCAACAUGGACGCGAUCCUCUAACAACUUUAGAGCAAGACACACAAAAAUGCUAUGAGCAUUUUGUCGUGCUGUUCCUUCCCUAAAUGCCUUUUCAACCUGCAGAUAUUGAAUCUUGAGUAAGCAUUUUAUAUUUCAUUAACUUGAACGUGCACUUAUGCACGAAAGCCAAGACAGAGGAUAUCAGAAACAAAGAUGGAUGAUGAGCAGUCAAAGAAUCCAGGGUGAAUGAUCAGAAGAUUAUAAAGGAAAAACAAAUGAUUCUAGAAUACAACUUUAAUGAUCCAAUCACAAAGCUGAGAGGAAAACUUUAGCCUCAAAACUGAUAAAUCUUCUUGACCUCAAUUUUUUAUUCUUAAGACAGCUUACAGGACUCUUUUUACCAUUAAAACUCCUAGAUACCAAAUCAAUUAAAGAAGUUACAAAAAGAUAAUAAAUUAGCCAUCCAAUGUACUCAAACAAUAAUGCAUUAGGAUGCAGAUUCCUAGAUGAUCAACAUAUUAACUAUUGGGAUCUGGUAAUUGAAUGUGUAUAUAUAACUGACCCCCCCCCCCCCACAAGGAAACAAAAUCAACAAAAAUUGGUAAUUAUAUUUUGCACUAAGGACUUGACCCACAGAAUAAUAAUGCUGAAAAAGAGAACAAACAAAUACAUGCCUGUUCCUUGAAGAUUACAGUUGCAGCAUCUAGGAGAAACUCUCGAGCAAGUUCAGGACUCUUCGCAUGUUUCUGGGGACGGGAGCAUUCACUAUCUAGCUCAUUUCCAUCCUUGUCCAUGGAAUCAUCAUCCUGCAGAUGAACAUAACUCUAAAUCACUAAACAAAAUCGACUCAAAAGAUGGCAACUGUCAUAUUAUGUUAGAAGUAAAGACUUAAAAAACAAGCUUCAGAAGAACUGAAGAGCUCUCAUGUUAUGUCAGAAACAGAGACUCAAGACACAUGCUUCAUAACUUGACUACCUCUUCUUCCUCUGCCUCCUCAGCAUGCUCAAAGAACCUUCUAAUGCUUUCGCCCCUGGUGAUGGUGACAAAGCCAUCACCAACCACAAGCCUGCAGUGUACACACUGUUGCCCCUUUAAAGCAUGAGCUUUAACACAAAGCUCAGUACACCGACCAUCCAUUUUCCAAGCCCUUAGAGUAAUAUAACAUGAGUUCAAACCACUCAGAUCUAGACCUUUCACUUGAACUCUUCCACUCAAACCGACAUUUUCAAACUCCAAAAUAUCACAUUUCCCUUCUCCAGUUCCAACUGCCCAUUCAAAGUGAUGAUACGUCCCAAAAGUGUCUACAAAUGUUUGUUGCCAAUCAGCUUGUACUGUGUCAUGAGAUACCUGAAAUAAAACAGUAAAACAUAUGAAUACCAAUUGCAAUAAGAAUUUCCUGAACAGAAGAUAAACAUAUACAAUAUGUAUCGGUAACUCAAGGAACUAAUGAAACCAACAUUUACAGAAGUCCUUUAUACAAAUGUAAUUGAAAAAAUAUGGAAGUUGUUGUCUUCUCAGUGAUAAAUGAAAAUUACAAACCUCGUAUUGGAAGGCCGUGUCUGCAACACAAAACCAACUGGUGCAGCGAGGUUCCCUUCUCAUUCUUUUAAGUUCCUUCAGCUCCUUAAACUCACGUAUUACAUUUCGUCUGCAAUCUCUACAAAACCUCUUGCUAUCAAACCUGUAUGAAGCCAAGAUUUUCAGGAUUAGUAACAAACACAUUAAAAUCACAAUAAUGUUCUUUAUGAGCUCACCAGGAGACACAUGAAGUACACGAGAAGUCCAUAACAACAAAGUUCACAUCAUAUACAAGAAGCACUAUUCUUCUGAUUCCAUAUUUAUUUGCAAUCGCCUCAGCUCUUGAACCAAAUCUCUCCAAUGUCCAUAAGUGUCUUAACCAGAGAUAUUAUCUCCAGUUUCUUUCUCACCAAUAUACAAACAAAUUUAUAGCACAUUUAGACUUAUCAAAAUAAGAAGCAGAUCCCAAAUUGGGAAUGUUCAGUUAAUAAGCAAACAAAACCUUGAGCCUUCACCUAAAAGAAGAUAAUCCUAAAAAAAAAUCCAGGCAGUAAGUCAUUGUUAUUGAAUCGUGUAACUUACGCAUAGGAAGUAAAUGCUAAAUUGGUAGAAUAGAGGAUUGCCAUUAUUGUAAACAUUAGCAUCAAAGCAUAAGUAUGCAAAAGAUCAUAACUAUCAGUUUCGUCUCUUUUCAAAGAUAAUUCAACUCAUAGAGAACCACAAGCAGUAUAUAUGUGCGUGUGUGUGUGUAAACACGAGCAAUACAGUACCACAAGGUCCACAAAUUUAUAAGAAGAGCCAAAAAAUGAGUUAUAACAAAAUUUAUUUUGUUUUGUUAUAGAUCCGUCUUGUAUCAUCUAAUCUUAAUUCUACCUACAACUUCCAAAUAAAGAGGCAAUAUUAGUCAUACAACCAUGAGUGGAAAGCAAAAUUACUGAAAUUACUAAAAGGAAGCAAAAUUACACAUGUUGAAGAUGAAAAAAACUAGUACAAGGAGUCAGACUGAUAGUAACGGAAUUGUUCUCCAAGUUCAAGGUAUCGGAAUAUUUGAUCCCUAAGUGUAAGGAGAAAAACGCUAAGGGCACAAUGUCAUGUAUCGUUCCAAACUCCCAAAAAUAGAGAAAGUUUGGGACAUUGACAAAGAUAUCUUGGACCUUUGCACCUACCAAAAACCACAUUUUCCAUUUCUAUAUAGUCUUGAACAAGGUGGAACUGGAUCUAAUCAGAAAAAUUAUGCAAAUUUUCCCAAAACUUAUAUUUGUACAGCAUAGAACAUAAUGAAUCACUGUUUGAAGAUUUACAAAGUAUGAUUAUACUAGCAACAUUCUAAGGUCAUAUCCUUAAAACAAGUAAUAUAAAUUAAUUCUGUUAAGUAGCAUUCUCCAGUGGAAAGCAUGAAAAAUACUAGAACACUUUGUGUGCAGCAAAAAAAGGACCAGGAUUGCAUUAAUUAAGUACAAUGAACUGGCAUCAAAGAAGGCAUAAGGCAGCAAGGGAAGCAGACUCAAAUGUAGACAAAAAGGCAUAAGGCAGCAAGGGAAGUAGACUCAAAUGCAGAAAAAAAGGAGGCAGGAAUUAGACAUCACUCAUAACAGUUGUCAAUUUCUUAGUCCAUGCUAUCUACUCUACAUAAUGCUUGUAUGCUCACUAUUCAAUAAAUGAUAGAUCUUUUACUUGUUACAAAAUAGUAGUCAAUAUGUUACACCCAUCCCUCCAUUCUCAUCUAUUUGUAAGUUAUCGAAACCUGUAGUUCAAGAAAACAUUUAUUUGGUUCCACCCAGAAAAAUGCUGGAUAAAUACAAUCUUCUGGAACAGUCUGGGGACCUUCAUAAUACUUUUCAAAUCAAUUUACCGGUCUGUAAUUUACCAAAAAAAGGUUUACAAGAGAAUAUGACAGUUUUAAGAUAGUUUUUGUUUUGAAAUGCAGUCCACAACCACGGCGUAAAAUAGACUUGUCCACUUCCAGUGGCAGCGUACUCAUCCAAUUCCGCAGCAAAAUGCUGUUUGUCUACUGCCUCAAGAUGAGCUAUUGAAAGUCCUGAAUGAUCGGUCAACCAAGUCAUUGACUCAACGUUCUAAAUGGCACAAAAUAGAAUGAUGAAUAGCAUCAAAAUAUAUGAAAGCUACGGAAACUGAAAUUUUCCAAAAACAGCUAAAAUCCUCCAAAAGAGAAAAUAAUAGGAGAUGAUUCGCUUUUGGAUCACACAAUUAAUGCUCAAUCUUGGCACCUUCUGAAUAAGUUUCAGACCAUUAAAGCCUUACGCCUCUGUUUAAUAAAUUUCCACAACAGAAUACACAACUUUUCUACUUAACAUUGAUAUCCUGGUUGGAUUCGUAAGUUCAUGUUGAAGCAAAAACCAGAACAGUUUAACCAAAAACCAGAACAGUUUAACCAAAAACCUUAACACAGACCUGUACAUAAGUCUUUCAAUAAAAUCCUCUUCCUUCAUUCUUAACAGGGAUAGCCGGGUCUCUUCUCCUAGGGCUGACCAAAAAUCUACCAACGUGUCGACAGAAAGUCUAGCAGUAUGGAGAGCACAGGUUUCUCUCGUUCCAUGCCCUCUGCCAUAUCCACCCAUUCCUUGGCUUAUCCAUCCUCGACCUCCACCACCACAUGCAUCAGGAUAAAGCAACUCCCUUUCUCGUUCCCUAGCCCGUGCACUGUCAAAAACCUGUUUCACAUGAGACAUUAGCAAAAACAAAUGGCCAAAACUAACAAGACCAGGGAGACAAUUGAGAAAUAAAUGAAGCAUACAUUUUGGAUGCCCUUCAGGGAUUCUGAAUACUGGUAACAGUCUAAAACUGUAAGUGUUCCUUCUCGUGUCGUGGUCAGACCUCCCCAAGGAUGGACAGAUGGGUCUUGAAUAUCAUCAUCACAUCCAUCAGUCCCACAAAAGUCAACAUUGUUCUGAUUCUUCAAGGCUCCCAACCUGUUGCAAGGAUACUGGGUGCCUGCUCCCUCUUGUUGCAAAGACUUUCCAUACAUGACAAUCUGCAAGAAACCUUCAAGCAGUAACCCAUUGCACCUAGAGCAAUACAUAUUCUUACGGGCUUGCUCGAAAAGCGUUUGCUUGUCAAUCCUCAGAAGCUCCUGCCGAGCUUGCGGUGAUAGCUCAUUCCAGAACUAAAACACAACAAAGUAAAAAUUCCUUAUUAUUCAUUAGUUCCAGUUUCACGAAUAAAAAUGUACACUUCAAAGCCCAUAGCCCUUUUCAGAGCUCCCCAAUUUAAAGUUCAUUGAAGCAAUAACACAAUCCUUUUACAAGACACAAUUUUAGCAUAUAUAAUUAAUUCAAUCUGACAACAACAAAACAUCACUCUACAUGGCAACUCUAGAGCUGCCCCUAGAGGAGAAAGAGCAAAUUCAAAUAAAAUCUCUGCGCAACUUUGAGUGACUUCAACUACUACUCUAACAUACUAGGGAGCGUUUAAUCAUAGUCAGAAACUCAGAAAACAUAAAUAAAUAAAUGCUGUUUCAAAGCUUCAAUGUCAGUUUAAAUUCCAUUAUAUGCUGUAAAAACUCGGUGAGCAAAAAUGUGUGUGCCAUUGUUUAUACAGAAGGAAUUUGCAGGCAUAGAUAGGAUUUCGAUCUAAAAAAUCACACAAGCAUUAGAUAACCCCAAAAACACUUCCAAUCAACUAAAAAAGCUUCAGAUACCAACAAUGGUUGAAUGACUAAAUCCAUUUAAGAUUCCAACAUAUCAAGCUAACAAUCAACAGCAAGGCCAUAAACGUAUAUAUAAACGAAAAUCAUCCAAAACAAUUUAAUUGAAGCCAAUUGAAUUUAAGCACCUUCUGAAGUUGAUUAUAGCUGAUAUCCUCUCGAUGUUUGGACCAGAAGCCAUUGCUGGAAGACAGCGAAUUAUAAGACGGCGUUGCUCCUUUGGCAAAUUGGUGAUCAUUUCUCUCCGCCGCAGCCGCAGCUGCAGCAGAUGCUAUCCCUGGCAUAUCGCAAAAUAAUCAAAGUAGAUUUGAAAAAUUCCCAGUUUUAUCUCAAUUCCUACGAGAUUCAAUCCUCAUCAUCAAUAAUUCCUUCAUUCAUUGAUUCCCCUUUCUUCUCCCACCAAUCCCCACAAACCCAAAUCCAAAAAUUCUAAAAUAUAUAAAAGAACCGAUUCCUUGGCAUCGGAUUUCUAUUCAUAAUCAUCAAUGCAUAAAACUGCAGCAUCGGUUAAAUUAAAUUAAUCUCAAACAGAUCCGAAAAUGGAUUUUUGGGAAAUGGAAAAUUGAAUUUAUAUAUCUGGAAAUCUGUGAUUGAAAAUUGGCUAAAUUGGAUUCGGGUAAGAUCGAAGAGGGAGAUUUAUGAUCGAUAAUUUGGAGAGAGGAGGAAAGCUUUUGGGUAGAAAGAAAGGGGUUUGAGGCUGAUGAGAUUUGGUGCUAUUUUCGUUUAUAUAUUUUUAUAUACUACAUCUGUAUUUAUAUAUUUAUAUAUGUAUAUAGUGUAUAUAUAUGUGUGUGUAUAUAUAUAUAUAUAUUGUGUGAAGAAAGUAAUAGAGAAAUUGAGGCCUGAGAAGAAAUGAGAGAUGGUGUCAUGAUGAUGGGCUUGUGGGGUUAAAAAACAGGCGGUAAGAUACGUAGGAGAAAAGGGGUUAAAAUAGCAAAGAACCAAAAAAGAGAAAUCAAAGAUGGAGGCUGCACCCGCCCUCAUUUUACUACUCAUAAUGUCAUUGCUAAUUUUUUUUGGUAAAAAAAAGUUUGAAUGAAUUCGAUUCCGAUUAUCACCACAUAUCAAAGCACGCCUCCGUAAUAAUAAUGUCAUUGCCUGUAACUCUCUUUCUAAUUAAGGGUCCGUUUGUUUUGGGUGAAAAUAUUUUCCUAAUUUCUCGUGUUUGGUUGCACAAAAGUUACUGAAAACAUUUUCCUAUGUAAAAUAUUUUCACUCAUCUUAUGGAAAACAACUUCCCUUCCAAACUUACUGAAGUUGUUUUCCGAAAUGCAUGCAUCUCGCCCGUAAUAUGUUCCAAAUUUACUGAAAACAUCUUAUAGUAUGUUCUUUUUUUUUUGUAUAAACAGGAGGACUCGAACCCAAAAUCUCUUCCUUACAUUCCCUCCCCCGUACCAUCCAACCCUCCCCCUAGUAUAUUCAAAAAAAAAAAAAAAACCUCAUCCUAUGCUAAUAAUUAAUUAUGUAUAAUAGGGACAUUCUUUUCUAGAGAAAAUUUCAGCAGUAAGAGUGCAAGAUAUAUGUCACAAUAAGCAUUGCAUGUGAUUGAUAUUUGACAUUAAAUGGCCAACAAUUUGUUUAUUGCUUAAGGAGAUAUUUUUUAUUCAUAUAUACAUUUCUCCAAGAUUUUUUAAAGUUAAACAAUGAGAUAAAUUUUCUUAUUUUGCAUGGGAAGAAGUAUGUAGUUAUAAUGUGUAGAAAGUAAAGAUAGAAAUAAAAGUGAAAAUAUUUCAAAAGUUAAACAAACACCAGAAAAAUGAAGUAAGAAAAUAUUUUCAAUAAGCUAACCAAACACCUGAAAAUGAUGAAAAAGAAAUGAUUUUCAUGGAAAAUUACUUCCGCAGAAAAAUUUUUUCCAAGGAAAACAUUUUACUUCCAACCAAACAGACCCUAAGAGUUGUUUGCCAUCGUCUCAAAUGAAAACAAAAAAAACAAAACAAAAAUUGCUCAUAAAAAAUAUUUUCCAAGUAAUAUAAUCCCAAAUCAUAGUUUCUUUGAAUUUCCUCUUAUUUGCAAAAAAAAAAAAUUAUUAAUCAGAUCAUAAACAUGAAUUUCAAUCACAUUUUUAUCGUUUCGUUUAUCUUUUUAUCUCACAUACAUUAUUGUGACUCUUUGCUAUGAUUUGUGUGUCAAAAUAGACUUUGCUUUGCUAUGUAAAUUUAGCCUAUGCCAUUGUGUGAGAAAGGCGGAGUUAACACUUUUAAAAAUCGUUAUUGAUAUUCCAUCUUAAAUAUUUUUAAAAAAAUCGUUCAAAAUAUCCCUCAUAUUUUGUAAAAUGACUUUUUUGUUCUUACUUUAAAAAGUGUAAUUUUAUAUCUCUUAUAAAUUUACAUAGGUCAAAUUUGGUCCCUACUUAGAUUUUCGAUUAGUUUUUUUCUGAAAUUUACCACGUGCCUUGCACUUGAUCAUAAAAUUCAUUUUAUGAAAAGUAAAGGAUUAUGAAUUGGAUUAUGUAAAAUGUGAUUUGGUAAUUUUAUCCCUCAAAAAUGAUUACGUGAAAUGAUAGAGACCAAAUUUGACUAAUAUGAAUUUGUAAGACACAUAAAAUUACACUUUUAAAAGUGAAUGAUACAAAAUCAUUUUACAAAAUGUGAGAGAUGUUUUGAACAAUUUUCUCACAUUUUUUCACUUAGCAUAAAUAUGUGUAAGAUGGGAAAAAAAUUUCAUAGUCAUUACUUGGAAAAGAUUAAUUGUGUAUGCAAAGAUUGGUUCUCCCCGAGCAAAAUGAACAUCUUUUUUUUUUUUUUUUGGGUUGUUGAUUCUUUUACAAGUCACGAGCCUGAAAAAAAAAAGACCAAGAAGUAGAAUAACUUUUUGCAUUGUCAAUUUCAGAGUCUGCUUGGACAAGAAGUUUAAACCGCCAUGUAAAACUUGCAUAGUCGUUUGACCAAGUGAUCAAUAGCUUUAAACUCUUGCAAAGUUAGUCUUCAAGUGUACCGCAAGCUUUAAAUUCUUCUAAAUUGGUUUUAGGGUGGCUUAAGUACGUCCUUAGCACAGUAAAAACAGUAAAAAUUGGACUAUUGUCGCAGCAAUUUCCAUUCCAAAUUGAUUUAAUUCUUAUGAAAAAUUAUUUAUAUUUCUGAGGUUCUUAUUGUCACCUAGAGAUCAUUUUGUUUUAACGUGCAUAGGUAUACUAAUUCGAAUACUGCAUCCAAUACAGCAUGAGAAAAUUUCAUGUGUAAUACUGCAGUUGCUACAAAUCAACUUGUUCAUGCAUCCAAUGCAAUGAUUUGCGUUUAGUUAAUUAACCACAAUCGGAUUUUGCCAAUAUUGGCAUUUUCGAGUGUUUUAAAUUGAAGAAAAACUCUAACCAAUUUGUCGGUGAUUGCUUACGAUAAUGCACAGUCAUUGAAUGUGUUUAACUAAUAUAAGCUGAUUCAAUUAGUAAGAAUGGAUCGUUUUCUUACAAAAAGUCAUGUAGUUGAAUCUCGUUACUACUUUGAGGUUGUGCUGAUCUAACCUAUAAUGAUAGUUGAAACUAAAAUUACUAAAGCUUUUCUCCAAAAAGUAAAAAUGUGGUCAUAAUUUUCUUGCAGACAACUUGUUGAAUGAAUUGUUCGCGCACACCCUUACAUACACUAAUAUUGUACAAAACGUAAGGAUGCUUGUGAGAUUCGACAUCGAGACCUUUGCUGUGUCGGGGAUGUUGUCAACUUUGAUACACAAUUUCCUCCAAAAAACUUUGGAUAUACACAACAAUAAUGUUGUCAUUUCGUUGAAACAGUUAAAUAUCACAUCGUCAUGUUGCCGUAUAGUACCAUAUACGCCUGGCAUAGGACCCAAAAUUACAACAUAGCCAGCUUCCUAUCAAGAGAUGUGUAUGGAUUGACAACAUUUAUCCAAUUAUACAGGUCUGCUUGGUUUGUAAUUUUUUUUUUAAAAAAAUUAAUUUCAUAAAUACAUUUUUUCAAUUGAUUUUUUAUUAUUUAAAUAAUUUUUUAUCUUAAAACCAACUUGUCUUAAGCAAGUGAGCCAUAAAAAAAGAUUUAAAAUCCCGCUUUAGGGUGCAGUUCUGCAGUUCAAACUCCUGCAAUCUAUAGUUAAAAAGAAGAAGAAGCUUUUCGAACAACCCUUGACCUAUUGUCUUUGCACAGUUUUGCCCCCUCAAUUAUAAAUUGUUACAAAUAAACCCUUAAAAAAAUAUUUACUUUAAUGACUUCCAUCAAUUUUGGCCGUUAGAGGUGACGGAAUUAACGGCAAAACCAACCAAACAAAAAAAUCAACCCACGAAAACAGCUUAAAAGGCAUUGUUGACUGAUUAUUUCAUCAAAUUAGGGUUAGAAAAUGUGGAAGAUGAAACAAGAUGAAGAAACAUUAAACUCCAUAUUAUUGGUUGAGUUAAUAUAGUUGGUUUCUAAUCAAAUUGUUGGUUAAUUUUUUUUGUUUGGUUGAUUUUGCCCAUAAUUUUGUAACAUCUAACGUCCAAAAUUGACGGAAGUCCUUAUAUUAAGUUUUUUUUUUUUGAAGGGCUCAUUUGCGAAUUUAUAGUUAAAAGGUCAAAACCACGCAAAGUGAGUAGUUUAGGGACCCGUCGCAAAGUUUCCUCAAAAGAAAUUCAAUGAGUGUGUCAAGGCACCCUUUUGAUCUAGAUAAGUCUGUCUUUCCUUUGAUCUCGUAUAUAAUCCAGUUAGAUGCUUCCUCCCUUAUAGAAUAGGAUAAUAUGUAGAACAUGAUACUCCCUCAGUCCCACUUUGAUAGUCAUGUUUUCCUUUUUCGUCUGUUCCAAAUUGUAGUCCACAUUCCAAUUGAAGAAUAUAGUUGUCUUUUAAUUUCUCUAAAAUACCCUUAUUCAAUGUAAGUUGUUAUAACUAUAAAUUACCUUAUUUAAUAUAAGAUUGUUAGUAUUGAAUAUAACCUACCCCAUUUAAUGUAUUUAGAUUUUCCAAAACACGUUGAUAUAUGAAAAGUCAACUUUGUUUAAUGUAAGGGUAUUUUAGGAAAAUAGCCAUCUAAAUUUGUUUUUCCAACAAAGUUAACUACUUUUUCUUAAACUGUGUGAAAAAAAAAACUAAAACUAUCAAAAUGAGACAGUGGGAGUAGUAAAGAUGCUUCUCUUCCUCCUUUGUAAAAUAGGAUGGUAUAGAUAUUGCCAACUGACUGAAAAAAAAUUGAAAUAAAUGAAAACUAGUCAUAUAAAUUUUUUUCGUAAGGAAAAAUUUUGAGGCAGCUCUGUCACUAGUAGUACUUACUACUACUACUACCACCAUUGCUAAUGCAACUCGAGUUAAUAGUUAAUACAUUUACGAUUGUAACAUGUGCCACCUAUAAUGUCAAUCGAUCUCCAUACUAGUUAUUAUUGAAGUGGACGACGGAAGCAUUCAAGCAACUUGGCUGGCUUUCUCAACCCCUAUCGUUUCCUAUGGUUGCAGUUUCUUACGUUCUUGAUUAGUCUUCUGUAAUAUAUUUGUUAAUUUUCAUCUUGUUUUGUUGGUUAGUGCCUAGUGGAUCUGUCAAGCGUGAGGUCCCUCUUAGAUGAUAGAUCUAAGCAUAUUAUUCAACAACAUCACGAGUAAUUUGACUUCUCUUUUCCAUCAUUUUGUAGUUAUCUUGACUUCACCACACAACCAGAUGGAAUGAAUAUGGGGAAACACAUGAAAGUGAAAACUUUAACUCGGUGUGCUAUGAAAAAGGGGUUAAUACCACUUUAUCCCCCAAACUUUGGACGAUUACCCACUUCAGUCUCUAAAUUUCAAAAUGGGACACUUAAGUCCCUAAACUUAUAAAUACCUUCCACUUAAGGAAAAUUGUUAACAAAUCUUGAAUGCCGUUGGUGGUCGAAGUGUCCCAUUUUAUAAGGGUUUAGGGAUUUAAGUGUCUCAUUUUAUAAGUUUAGGGACUUAAAUGGGAGAUAUUUAUAAGUUUAGGGAUUUAAGUGUCUCAUUUUGAAGUUUAGGGACUGAAGUGGGUAAUCGUCCAAAGUUUGGGAGGACAAAGUGGAAUUAACCCAUGAAAAAGCUAAGGAAGAACAAUGAUAAUUUGCUAACAAGGACAUAUGUUUAUUCAUUCUGGGAUAGAGUAUUAGAAGUUAGAAUAAUUUUCUGGUUAUGCCCCCCAAAAAAAAAAAAAAAUCAUCCAAUCGGUUCUAAUUUUAACUGAGAGAUGCACUCUAAGCUACACGAUUAAUUGACUUCUUUGUUUACAUUAACAUAAGUAUCCAAAGGAAGAGAUCUGGCUGGUGGAACUGAAUCUUACAGUUACCCCAAGGUGUAAGUGAUUCCAAUUAAAGAAUGUGAAAGAAACAAAGAAUUCGAUUUAUUUGACCAUGUACAAUUUCUAAAGACAUAGUAUACUAUAACGUAUACAAUCACCUGAAAGAAGCUAAUUGCAUUUUUGUACAAGCUUGACAACAUCAAUAUUUCAAACUUUUUGUUUCGGUUUUCAAAACUUGACUCUUUGCUCACAAUUUAUUCCUGCAUAACAUUGGGACUUGGUUUUUGGUUAAUUAAAGGCCAUGAUGUUUGGCUUAGCUUUUGUUUUGGGUUUAGCAGCUACUGCUUAUCAAAGAGUUGCUUCGCCUUGCACGUAUUGGAGAGGGAAGAAUUGAAAGGCCGUUUAUCUGUCUGAUGAUAAUGAAGUAUCCGUGGACUAAAGAAAAGUAAAUUACAAUUUUGCCCCUUUAUUUUAUUAGGAAAAAAAAUGCAAUAAGAUUAAUUUUUUAUGCACCGGUUAGUAUAAAGAUUUUUUUUUAAAAAAAUACAUGGCACUGGAUACAUGCCACAUCUGUAAAAAUAAUUAAAUUUAAAUAAAAAUUAUGCGUCAUGUAUCUAGAGCUACUUUUUUUUUUUUUUGUGUGUGUCUGUAACGUCAACUAUCUAACUGAAUCCGGGAGGAGUCUAAAGUACGUUAUACAGACAUUAGGAGGUGAAUCACCAAGUCAGACUUGUGCACCAUCGCACUCUCUGAAUUUUUAAGAAUAAGAAGUACUGUGCUUCUAGGGCUACUAAUAAUUAAAAAAAAAAAAAACCCUUGUACAUUGACAAUUACAUAAAAAAUUAAUCCAUAUACAUAUGUAUGUCUUUUCUAAAAGUGUUUAUCAUGUAACCGACCAAUAUCUUUUAUGCAGUGGAAAAGUGAGACGGUGAAUAAGUCGAGGGAGUUAUUGGAUAGCCGACAUUAGCUAAUAUUGUAAUUCUCUCCGUUUUGAGUGUUAGACGUAAUUAGUCACAUAUAUAAAGAUAAUCACAAGACUCAUCUGGAGACUGUUUUUGGGCAUUAUCUGUCAAAGCUCUUUCUUUUUAAAAGUAUUCAGCCAAACAGGUAAUAACUACUGUACAUUAAUGAGCAUUUUUAGUAGUACCAGUUCCUUGUUAUGCUUCUAAUUAAGCAUUUGGGAGGAGAUUAAACAAGGACAUCCAAUCUUCGAUCACUACAACGUCCGGCAGCUUAUGUUCAGGUCCCCCGUCAUCUUGCUUGUCCCUAUAUGAAUAAUGGAAAAUCUGUUAUGCCUGUUUUCCCAAAGGACGAAUUAGAGGGCAUCAAUGGACCUUCGUUACAAGCUGAAGAAGUAGUCCGUUUUGCUUUCACUUAUUAUUAGUGUGUAGUUCUGCAGCAAUUUAAGAGGUUGUUUGGAUUGCAAUUUUUUGAAGAGCUUUUGAAGAAUAAAUUUCUAUAGAGCUUUACUUUAUAGAAUACGGGGUGUACGUGACAUAAAUAGAAUAUUUACAGAAAAGCAAAAAAAUAGCAAUUCAAACGAAAUCUACCCCUUCCGUACUGAUAUUUGCUUAAGACGGUAGGAACAUACAAAUGAAUCAAGCUGUUCCAAAAUAAUUAACUGCUAAACAAGAUAGCGAACACAAUUUACCAUUGGAACAUGAUCUUAUUUUUCAUGAUAACUAUAAAUUAAUCAUGAGAACCAAAUCAUAUUUUGAUAGUUUGUCUCUUACUUUUUCCUGUGUUUCUGAGUGUAUUUUUCACACACAUAAUAUUCUAUACAAAAAUUGGCAAUUGUACAGAAGUUUACUGUUGAAAUGGAGCGAAUUGAUGAGUAAUGAGGGCAGCACGGGUCCAACAAUAGAACAAAACAUGCGAAAGAAAGUGUUUAGGCAAAGCUACAAGAAAAGCUAGAGGACACAAAGGGGGCGACAAAAUCUUGGAACUCCCCAGCGGAAGAAUCUUUCAAUUUUGCGGUCAGUACCCAGUACAGCAGUUAACAUCAUUUAUCAUAUUGACUGCAAUCCGGGUCCUUCGAUCUUUGCACUUCAACAAACGGGUCACCGACCCAUUUACAGGUGGGUUUUCUGGAGGGGAAGGGGGGAGAGAGCGUAGGGGCCGGCGUGGGAUAGUUUAACCAGCCCAUUAUUUGUAACUGUCGAUUUUUUUGGGCUUUGGCCCUCUUACGGACCAAAAAAACACAAUAAAGAUGAAUGGAAUACUCCCAAGAUCCAAUUCAAUUGGACAAUAGUUAAAGACAUUAGUUAGAGACAGUUUCAGUUCGAAAUUUAUGGUAACAUCAUUUGGUAGCUUUGAAGUUUCAGAAAUAUAAUUCAACUUCCAUGCUAGUGAGAUGGGACCAUUAAUCAAUAUCAACGCGACAAAAUUAUAUUUACUCCUUUAACAAUUUUAAAGCAAAACAUAUAAAAAAGAACUUAGGUAAAACAUGUAAAUCUUAUAUUAUAAUCAAUUUGGUAGAAAUUUUAAUAUAAGACAACAUCAAAGGAUAGAAUUGGUAGAAUAUAUAUAUAUCUCAUCAAAUGAUUAUUAUAAGAAUAUUUUAAUGAUAUAAAGGCAACAUUGUUACAAGGUAUAUGAUUUUAGAGGAGGUUAAUGAUAUUUUUAAAAACUUUAGAAGUGCCAAGCAACAUUAACAUAAAUCUCAAUAAGGUUUCUAAAAUUAUCUCUAGUUACAAUGGUAGAGAAUAUACCAUUUUACAAGUUUAAGAAGUAAAAAUAUGCAUUUAAUAGUUGAAGGGUUAAAAGUCGACCAACUUAAUACUUUGAAAGCCAUCUAACUUUUCAGCGCUAAAAUUUAAAAUUUUAUUGAAAUAUUAUUUUUUAAAUUAAAAAAAAAUCACUAUCCACAACCAUUUACCACCCCUUUUUUCUCUCUCCACCAUUGCCAUCGUAGCCGCCCCUACUCCUCCCCUCAUUCUCUCUUUUCCUCCUUCUUCCUUGUCCCUUUUCUUCCCUCUUCCCCUCCCUUCUCUUAUCCCCUCUCUUUCCCGACCACACCCAACUCCUCCCUUUCCUUAUUUUGACUUGGUUGUGGCCAUCUCUCCUUAGUCCUCCCCUUCCAACCUCCGUCUCUUUCUUUCGCCUAUCUAGUUGUGACUAGAAGCCGCAACCAAAGUAGGGAAAAGGAGGGGUAAGGGAUGGUGAGGGAAGGGAGGCAAAUAAGAGGAAAAGGGCCAAGGAGGAGAGAGGAAGGGAGGGGUAGCGAUAGUAGUGGUGAUAAAGGAGGGAGGAGGCUAGUGAUGUGAAAGAAGAAAAAAUGAUAAAAUUUAUUUUUAUUUUUGUAUUUUAGAUGUGCAUUUUUGAAAUUGUUUUUGAAAUUUGUUACUGUAAAUUGCACAAACAAAAACCAUUUGUGAAGAAAAAGGGUAACUUGAAUAGAGCCUUAAUUUUUUUCUAUUUCUUUUUUUUAUAUAUUUAUUGUUGUAAGGUUUGGAGUUUGACUUAAAUUAAAAUACAUAUGACGUAGUUGUGCAAUGUUAUUUAUUGUUGUAAGGUUUAGAGUUUGACUUAAAUUAAAAAAAACAUAUGACGUAGUUGUGCAAUUUUAUUUAUUGUUGUAUUGUUUAGAGUUUGACUUAAAUUAAGAAACGUAUGACGCAUUUAUGCACCUGCAGUACUGCCUUCCUAUAAUUGUAGGAGGAUUUUUUGUUUUCUUCAAGCAACAUGAAAACUGAUGGAACUUGAUGUAGAUAAGUUUUACCCUCGUAAUCUCCGCUAUUUAUUGUUAUACCACUGCUUAAUGUCACAUUUGAGACCAAAAUCCGAUAGCACUUGCAAAUCAGUGUAUGCGUUUGCAAGGAUAGCAGCGGAUUAGGGUUUUAAUUAUCAAUUUCUCAUUGCCAAACCAUCUCGCGGGUUCAAGUUGUCCAUUGAGUAUCCUCUAUCCAUUAAGGUCAAUAGUAAAAAAAAAAAAAAUUAAUUAAUUAAUUAAUUUUUAUCGAACUAAAAUCAACAUAUACAUUAUGUUAAAUUAACACACUGCAUCGAGUUUCAAACUUGGGCAACACCAUAAAGCUUGCAUGAGAAAAAAUGGAUAUUUAGUGAAGGUUUGAAUCAAUAUUUCUCUGUUUUUAAUCAUAAUUGUCUUCAUUUAUGGCAUCGGGUAUUGGAUGUCGGGGUUUUAGGAUUCUCUUAUCAAAUUUUAUCAAGUUACUAGGAGGUAACUCUUCAUCAUCAAUAUCCAUUCCCAAUAGAUAAACGAUGAAUCACCAAAUCAAACUAAUCAUCAAGUUGUCUAAUCCAAUAUUUUUUAUUUUGAGGAACAUUUGAAUGCUUGUGUCUUUCAUGCAUCACUUGCCUUCACUAGUUGUAUUUUGAAAAUCCAAAUCAUGCAUUUUUUUCAUUUUUUAUUUGGAUAGAAAAAAAAAAUCAAGCAUUAGGUAUUAGUAUGAAAUUAGGCAAUGUCAACUCACACUUUUGAUUCCUCUACCACUCAUGGCAUCUGAAUUUAGUUAUAGAACAAUUCUAUUCAGUCUCAUUCUAUUUUGCAUGUAAAUUCACAUGAAGGUCUUAUUUAUAGUUCAUACUAUAAAGAAAUUUUUUUUUGUCAUGGUUUAGAGUUACUUGUGUGGCAAAUUGCAAUGAGAAGAAAAAGUAAUACAAGGGCCUAUAUGGAGCACUACUAAACUGCCAUGGAUCAUCAGUAAUUAGUCCCAAAUUCAGUCCUUCCCCGGAAAAGUAAAAAGUUUCCGAAGCUAUAAAAGAAAAUCUGAAGAGGAAAAAGACAAAGGCAUCUUCCAAAGUUGAAUUCCCGUUCCCUAGCCAACCGGAGCUGAAUCAUUAUAGUCAAAUCAUUAUAUACUCCGGCGAACGACCACCUUCACCGGCGGCCGAUGGCUUCUACAUUAUUCUCCCACCUAAAAUACUCCGACAGCUUAACGGUGGUCGCAAUUUCAAUCUUCACCGCCGUAGUCUGCGAAGCUAUCUCGUGGCUACUAAUCUACCGCACCAGCUCCUACAAGUCUCUCAAAUCCACCAUAGACAAGGCCUCCAAAAAGCUCGAAACCAUGAAAACCCCUAACGGCACCAGUGAACUCACUAAGAAAUCAAAAACCAAGAAAAUCGACCGCGUCGAGACCUCCUUGAAGGAAUCCAGCCGCGAUUUGUCUCUAUUUAAGUUCAAAUCCGGCGCUGUCGUCGCGGUCGUUUUAUUUAUGGUUUUCGGAUUGUUGAAUACUUUGUUCGAAGGGAAACCCGUUGCGAAAUUGCCGUUUGUUCCCUUGCGGAUUGUUCAGAAGAUGAGUCAUCGUGGCUUGUCCGGGGACGACAUGACUGAUUGUUCGAUGGCCUUUUUGUAUUUUCUUUGCUCGAUUAGUAUUAGGACUAACCUUCAGAAGUUCUUAGGUUUUUCGCCGCCACGCGGAGCUGCUGGUGCUGGCCUUUUCCCCAUGCCCGAUCCCAAAACCAGCUGAUUGAUCUGAUCCAUCCGCCAAAAAGCUCCUAGUUUUGGUAUUAAUUGCCUAGUGUUUUGAGUCUUUAGUUGUCACUUUUGUUUUUUAAUUUCCUUUCUGUGAAGUCUGAAUUUUGAGAUCAUAAUUGGAAGUAGACUGUUAAGUAUUUAGUCAUUGAAUGGAAUAGUACUGUUGAUCUUUUUUUCCAACUUUAUUCUUUCCCGAAACCGGAAAAGUAAUGAAGAACUCAUUUCUGUAUGUUGUUGCAGUUGUCAAUUUUUGUGAUAAUUAUUAAAUUAUUGCUUAUCUUUUGUUAGGCCUAUUUGAGGUUUGUUAGUUUUUAGAAUCUUUGUUCAUAACAGAGUGAGCUGUUAUUUGUUGGUUUAUUCCUGCUUCACAUGUCAAUCUAAAAUCUGUUUGCUCUGUUUGGUUUUGCUGUUUAGGAUAAAUUAUUGAUCUUUGCAUUCAUUAAAUUCUGAAUUUACAGUAUGUUGUGAUACGGAUGUUUGACAGUCUAAAGACUCUGAGCAUAAAUUUUGUCGGUAAGACCUCCUUGUAGGAUUAAUGCUCUUGCCGAAACCUUUUUUUUAUUGGGGUCUGAAAAGCACCUUGCCCACAUUUGUUGGGAGCAAGCAUUCUAACUUGAUCUAUCAUUGUCCUGCUUAUUCAUAAACCAGUCAAUAUAUUGCUAAUUGUGCUUUUUCGGGGGUAGACUUUCUGCUCUAGUAGUUAUCAAACAUUUAAAGGCCACUUUGAAACAGUUGCUCAUCAUGACCAUGGUAUCUUGUAAAUAUUUAUCGUGUUUAAUUCAUUAGAUCUAGAAGGUGUUGCUUAUUGCCCCUUGUAAUUGAGUUUUAGCAUUGAAAGUUACAUGUGUUUAUUGUGCAGUCUUUGGAUUAGCUGAAUUCUAAAGACGGCUGUAGGAAAUUCCAUCACCUUCUAUUUUUUUUGCGGGUAAGAAGUUUUGAAGCUUGCGAGCUUGAAUGUUUAAAGACUGAGAAUUGAAAGUACAGAUCUUUCCAAUUGCAGUUUUGGCUACUUAUAAUAUUUCUGUGUGAAGUUGUAAGUAUUAUAUUGCCAUGAAUAAAGAACAAUCAUGGCAUCAAUUUUGAAACAGAGAGUUAUAUUACAGAGUUAGUUGCAAUGGCUAAACUAACUCAUCCUAAAGUUGGGUAUACCAAUUUUUGUUGGUGUCAUGAAACAAGCCAUUUGGUAGGAUUACAAAUCUUGCUAAAACGAUGUUCAUAAUAAAGAUUUGAAAGGUUAAGGUUCAUAACAAAUUGAAGUUGUUUCAUGUCAUAAUUCGAACAACAAUUGAGGUUAACAAUGACUCAAGGAAAAGUGAAAUGCCUUCAAAUAGGAAAAUAUCAAGACAAAGUGUCUCAGCACAGCAUGCCUCAUCACACUUGCACAUUGUUUUCCUGCUUAAUGAUGGAAGAUGUGUAAUAAGUUGUGUUUGAAAACAUAAACCAAAUCAUUCAAUUAACUCAUCAACAGUCAUAUGUCCAUAAUUAAAGUUGGCUUGUACUUUUUAUCGCAAUAAAUGUUUAUUACUUAUUACUGCUACAUUAAUUUUGGUCUAACUUAAUCUUCGACCUGCAUUACUAACUUAGUAUUGAGGAAAGACAAAGGGUGGGCUUGUAUGAAAUAAGUGACUUUCAGUUCUAGGUACCGACAGUCUACCCCCUUCUCUUUCUCGACGCCUCCAAAUAAGAAAAAGGAUGGCUCAGAUGCUGUUUGCUCAUCUUAGGUACUCAGAUAGCCUAGCAGUCAUGAAAAUCUCACUAUUUUCUGCCAUAUUGUGCGAAGCUUUAUCUUGGCUAUUAAUCUACUGCAUCAACCCCCACAAGUCUCUCAAAUCUGCAAGUAACAAAGCCUCAAGAAAACUUGAUCGUACGAAAAAUCACAAUAAAAGCAAUGAAAUCGCCGAGAAAUCCAGGAUCAGCAAAAUAGCCUGUGUUGCAACAUCAUUUAAAAAAUCCAUAUUUGUACUUGUUCAAAUUAAAGCCUGGGUUGAUUCUCAUCCUGGUUCUCUUAGUCAUUUUUAAUACACUGAACAAUCUACAUGAAGGGAAACCUGUGGUUAAGUUGCCACUUUGGCCCUUACAAAUUUUUCGCAGGUUGAGUUAUAGGGGCCUAUCUGGGGACUACACGACACGUUGUGUUCAGUGUUCUUUUUGUGCUUUUUGUGCUCGGUUGCAAUUAGGGCUAAUAUUGAAAAGCUUUUAGGAUUCUCGCCACCACAUGAAGCUGCAGGUGGCAGGUUGUUUUCAUUGCCCUUUCUGAAAUCAAACUGAUUGGUUUUGUUCACUACCAGUUAGUAAGAACUUCCCUUUCUACUACUUGUAUUGUCCUUCUUUUGGAGAAGUUUGAAUUAAGAUAGCUGACUUAAAGUGAUCUCCUGUUCUGAUUGAAGAAAUUUAAUGGAUUGGGUGUUUUCAAAAAACUUUACUGUAGACGUGUAUCUUAAAAAUAUGUCGCCUGGUUUUUUUUUAAGGUUGUUUUGAAGGCUGUAUCAGGUUUGCAGAAAGAAUUAUCUUUACCGAAAGUGGGAAGCAACCCCCUCCUCAGCCCACCUUUCUGCCUCCCACACUGCUUCCUGCCACUCUCUCUCUCCUUCACCAGCUCUCUUCUGCCCACUUUUCUCCCCCAACCCGUUACCCUCUCCCCUCCCUUCCUCCCCCUUCCCCUACCAACCCGCCAGCCUCCCCUGUUCCCCAAAUCUGCAGCCCCUAUCCCCAUCCCCACCCCCUCUCCCCUCCUCCCCCUUCCCCCAGCAACCACCAAGGGGGAGUGGACUGCAGGGUUGUGAUGGGGGAAGGGGCAAUGGGCUGGUUGAGUUGGGGGAGGGGGCUGCAUUUUGCAUGUCUGUGUGUUUUGGGUACUGUUUCCGGUGUUCCGAGGGGUGUUACUAUAGACACGUGUUUAAAAUACAUGUUUUGAAAAAAAAAGGGAAUCCAUAAGCUCCAUAAGUUUUUAGUCAGAGGUUCGAACAGUAUUUUUAUCGUUCAUUCUUUUCGUUUCUGCCCAAAUUACAAUGACUUGCAUUUGUAUACAUCUAGAAUUUGCAAUGAACUUGCUGGCUUUAUUUCUCACUUACAAAUAUGUGUGCGCGCGUGUACACAUGUAGUGCCUGAAUUUUGGUUGACUUACACUGAGCAGGGUCUUUUUGACGAAUAAAUUGAAUUUUUUAUAUAUUUUUUAUUUGCAGUUUCUAUGAUAAUCUGUAGCCUUUUGCUUAAGUUAGAUGUGCUAGGUUGAUUUUUGUUUUUCUGUUUGUCCUUAAUAAAGAACCAGGAUGAUUUCUUGGUAUCUAUUUGGUCAAAUGAACCAAACAAUAAUUAUUCAUUUUGUCAACCUUAGACAUGUUUCUUCACACUAUCAAUAUGAAGCAAUCCUUUUUUUUUUUUUUAUGUAACUUAAAUUCUUGAGAAUUACAUUAAUGACCUUUACUUAGAUUUUCUGAACUCUGCAAUCUAACAUAGGUUUCUCAUGAAUAUUUAACAAUGGGGGGUCGGUGAUCUUGUUUUUGGAGUCUCAUUUUUUGAAACUGAGAAGGCUCGCUCCAUUAUUUUUGGGCAGUUCACUUUAAUUAAGUUUGUUGAAUUAUAACUGGUGAUUGUCUUAUCAAACUAAUUGGGUGAAUUUCCCACACCAAGACUUUUCAUAAGUCUUGUGACCUUACUUCGUAUCAAUUGAUGACUUCACCCGGUUUAGGGUUAUGCUUCCUAGGUCUUCUUUUUCGUUUUUCUACAUAGUAUUAGACUUGGUUUCUCAAUUUAAAAAAAAUAAUAAAAGAAAAAUUUGCUGGUUGGUUGAUGUGGAAUGGACAGCUACUUAAGGGCUCGAGCCAGGACUUUUGAGCCUGUGGAAUUGUGAUGUGAUAAUCAAGCAGCUAUAUUGCAUUACUUUGUGUUCCAUAAGUGUAUUAGACAUUUUGAAGUAGAUAUUCAUUUUGUAAGGGAAAAACUUCAAGUUUUAUUAUUUCUCCUGGUCAUGUUAAAACCGCAGAACACCUAGCUGAUCUCCAAUUACUAUCAGAUGAAGUCUGGAAAGUUUGGCUUAUACUAUCUUUGCAUGGUUUUUACAAUGUUAGAGGGCAAGGAAUAUAGAAAUGUUGUCUAAGUUAAGGUAGUAGUAUUGCUGUUCUCUGUAAUGAACUCCUUUUGGCUUUUGGUGUUCCACAUUAUGGCUCUAACUUUUGGCCCUUGUGAGUUUGGGAUCUCUAUCAUGCAUUGUUUUUUAUGCUAAUGCAAAAGGAAGAUUCUCAAAAAAUCGGAAUGUAGGAGCACUUCUGGUUUUCAAUGUGGAUGGUUUUGAAAAUUUGAGAACUUGAUGUUAAAGUAAGUGGAUGACUGAGAGAGAACCUGUUGGUUCACUAUUUUACCAAUAUAUCUUGUGUCUUUAUAGCCACUAGGUAUGUGUUGUGACUUAACUCUAAUCAAGAGCUAAUGAAGAUUUAAAUAUAUGUUUGAUGUCAUAUGACGUUUGAUUCUGUCUCAGUUGGGAAGGAAAGACACCACCAACCAUAUGUAGGUCGGUGAUGUAAUAUCCUGAUGGUGUCAUAAAGUGAGUCUGAACUCUGAAUCAAAAAGUACUAAUCCUACUGUAUCAACUAUUGAUCAGGUAACCUGUGCCUAUACGUAAUCUUCAGGAGUAUUAGUGUUUGCUUGGCUUUCCAUGUUCACAAAAUAUUUAGUGCAUUUUAGUUGUAUUGGAACAGAUAUAAUGUCACUGCCUAAUGGAGCCUUUAUUACAAUUCUGGCAUGCUUUGUUUAACUUUUUAACCUGCCAGAACUCUCAACCUUUCGCAUCUUUUUCAUAGUUUUUGGUCACAUGUCAACCUGCAGAGGUAGGAUUUGAAGGCCAUCUAGUUUGUUUUGCUGGUCUUAGGAUAUAAUCCUCGGUCAGCCAUUAUUGGCUUGCUUUGUAAGCUUAUAGUUAUGAUGAGUCCUUGAAUCUCUAAUGAUAGCUGAUUGGCCUCUUUUGAUUUCCUAAUUUCUUGAUACUCUGUAAGUUUUGCAUACCUUCAAAUUUUUGAAAAGCUUCUUUAGCGUUAUAGUUGUCUGACUUAUACAGGUCUUUAAUCCUCAGUUUACGACUGUUAUGAAAAAAAUACCAUACUCUUGAGAUGUUUGGCCUUAUCGGUGCCAAUGGCUCCUCCUUUUACAUUACCAGGAUUCAUCACUUGUUAGCUACAAAUCUGCUUUUGUAAAUUCGUAAUUAGUAGUAGAAGAGCAUUUCACUUUGUCAACAGGUAUCUUGGGAGGAAAACAUCUAGUCACACUAUUAUGAGUGACCAACUAGUAUUUAUAGGAGUACAAACCUAACAGACUAUUUACAAGAAUACCCUUACUAAUUUAUUAUCUAUAAGAAUACUAAUAUUCUCCUAACACUCCCCCUCAAGUUGGAGCAUAUAUAUCAUAAGCACCCAACUUGUUACAAAUAUAUUUCACCCUAGAGCCCCCUAAACUCUUAGUAAAUACAUCAGCCAAUUGAUCUACAGACGGUACAUGAGAUGUCUUGAUGACCCCGUCAAGCAAUUUCUCUCGAAUGAAAUGACAAUCAACUUCAAUAUGUUUUGUCCUUUCAUGAAACACUGGAUUAGACGCAAUAUGAACAGCCGCCUGAUUAUCACACACUAAAUUCAUAGGCUGUUUAUGUUCAAACCCAAGUUCCAGUAACAUGCUCUUCACCCAAACCAACUCACACACAGUGUGAGCCAUAGCGCGGUAUUCAGAUUCUGCACUUGAUCUGGAUACAACUGUUUGCUUCUUACUCUUCCACGACACUAAAUUACCACCAACAAACACACAAUAUCCUGUAGUCGAUCUUCGAUCUGAGGCAGAACCAGCCCAAUCUGCAUCACUAUAUCCUUCAAUAUCAUUGUGUCCAUGAUUUUGAUACAGCAACCCUUUUCCAGGAGCAUUUUUAAGAUACCUGAGAAUCCGUAUAACAGCAUCCCAAUGACUAGUACGAGGGGUAUCAAGAAAUUGACUCACAACACUCACUGCAAACGAAAUGUCAGGUCUCGUUACAGUGAGAUAAUUUAAUUUACCCACAAGUCUUCGAUAUUGCUUAGGAUCAUCAAGUAAUGCACCUUGAUCUCCUGCUAAUUUCACAUUGGGAUCCAUAGGAGUAUCCACAGGUCGGCAACCUAACAUCCCAACUUCACUCAACAUAUCGAGUACAUAUUUUCUUUGACAUAAAUAAAUCCCAUAUUUAGACCGAGCUACCUCAAUACCCAGAAAAUACUGUAGAUGACCUAAAUCCUUUGUCUGAAAGUUUGCCUGCAGAUUGGAUUUAAGUUUCUGAAUCCCCACAACAUCAUCACCUGUAAUCACAAUGUCAUCCACAUAAACAACUAAUAAAAUUUUACCAGCAUUAGAAUGCCGAUAAAAUACAGAGUGAUCUACUCCACAUCUUGUCAGACCGAACUCCAUGACAACACUACUAAACCGAUUCACAAGACAUACUUUGCUUGAUAAAAUACGGAGUGGAUUCAAAGAAAGUAACAUCAGCACAAGUAAAAAAUCGAUUUAAAACUGGACUGUAACAUCUAUACCCUUUUUGCGCUCGUGUAUAUCCUAAGAAAAUACACUUAAUAGCACGAGAAUCUAAUUUAUCCACCCCGGGAGCAAGCUGAUGAACAAAGCACACACAUCCAAAAAUACGAGGAGGCAAUUUAAACACAGAUUCAUGAGGAAAAAGAAUGGAGUGAGGUAAUUGACCUCCAAGAAUAUUAGAUGGCAUGCGAUUAAUUAAAUAACAUGCAGUUAGAAUUGCAUCACUCCAAAAUUGUUUGGGCACAUUCAUGUGCAACAAUAGUGUUCGAGCAAUUUCGAUUAAAUGCCCAAUUUUUCUUUCAGCAACUCCAUUCUGUUGUGGAGUGUGAGGACAAGAGGACUGAUGAAUAAUACCAGACUUAGUCAUAAAGGUAUUAAAAGGAGUGGAAAAAUAUUCUUUCGCAUUAUCACUGCGAAGUAUACGUACAGGCACACCAAAUUGAUUCUUUAUUUCUGUAACAAAUGCACAAAAAAUGGAAUAUAAUUCUGAACGAUCUUUCAUUAAAUAAAGCCAUGUAACUCUGGAAAAAUCAUCAACAAAGACUACAAAAUAUUUAAAACCUAACUUUGAAGUGACUCGACUAGGACCCCAAACAUCAGAAUGAACUAACAAAAAGGGUUCAGAAACCCGUUUAUUGACUUUAGGAGCAAAAGAAACACGAUGAUGCUUUCCUAACUGACAAGACUCACAUUCUAACGAAGAUAAUUGAUUCAAAGUAGGAACCAACUUUUUCAAAUUUUGUAAAGACGGAUGACCUAAACGACAGUGAAUUUCAAGAGGAGAAACAGUAGCAGGACAUGCUAUCGGACCAUUAAAGUUGAGAAAGUAAAGACCAUUAUGCUCAUGCCCUCCACCAAUCGUCCUCUUUGUCUUCAAAUCCUGAAUGACAACGGAAUCAGGAGAAAAAGUAACUGUACACUGUAGAAAUUUAGUGAGCUUACUAACAGACAUUAAAUUAAAUGGUAAAUUGGGUACGUAAAGAACAGAAGACAGCGGAAGUGAUGGAUUAAUUUCUACAGUGCCUAGUCCUUUAACUUUAGUGGUAGAUCCAUCAGCUAAAGUAACAUGAGGAAAGGGAGUAGACUCUUGAAAAUUAGAAAAAAUUUUAGAGGUACCUGACAUAUGAUCAGUAGCCCCGGAAUCAAUAAUCCAUGGGUCAUUACCUUUUUGUGCUAAAGAAGCAGAGGGAAGAGAUGCGUGAUUUGUAGCUUGGUACUGUAGGAAUUUAACAUAAUCUUCCUCAGAUAUAGUAACAGUUUUCUGGGACCCAUGUGUUGAAGAACUUGAUUCAACUUGGUCAGUGAUAACCGUAUUAACAAACCUUUCAACCAUAGCGAAUAGCACGUCAAACGAAAGAACGGGUCAAAACUUGAGACAAACGCGUGAACAGUAACGGCAUGAACAGUACUACGUGAACAGUAUCGGCGUGAACAGUGCCGUGAACAGUAUACGUGAACAGUGCCGCUAUGAACAGUGCGGCGUGAACAGUGAUUUGCUAGAUGUUUUACCCUAACCCUAGGACUUUUGCUCUGAUACCAUGUCAACAGGUAUCUUGGGAGGAAAACAUCUAGUCACACUAUUAUGAGUGACCAACUAGUAUUUAUAGGAGUACAAACCUAACAGACUAUUUACAAGAAUACCCUUACUAAUUUAUUAUCUAUAAGAAUACUAAUAUUCUCCUAACACACUUGAUUUACAGUUACUGGGUGUAUCACUACAUCUUUGCCCGAGGCAAUGGGCUAGGAUAGUCCAAUUAGAAGGUGGACAGUUGAGUGAGUAGGAUUCAGUGGUUAAAGGUACAAAUCUAGCUAAAUGGCUAGCAAAUAGGUUAAGCUUCAGAUGCCUAGAUGGUAUCAAGAGUGUGAUGCUGUUUAAUCAUAAGCAAGGAUCUCAAAGCUUUUGAUACAAGGAUUUUCCAUGAAACUAUAUAUAUAUGAGUACCAAUUUUGUUCUGUUCUGUGAUUGUCAAAUGCUAGCUUUUAAAUUUUGGAGGGGUAAAGGGGCCUUGCUGGAUAUGGGUUUACAUUGUUGACGGGGAUGAUAAGUAAAGGGGCCUUGCUGGAUAUGAGGAUGCAGAAUGUAAGAAGAAGCAGGGGUUUUCAAACUUUUCUCCGGGACUAUUGUUAUUAUUUGUAGUUUUAGCAUAUAUUUAGUUUAUUGGUGGUGCAUGCAGAGAGUUCUGUAGGAUCACGACCACCAAUAUUGUGCUGGCGACCUAAGAAAAAAUGCAUCUGCUGUCUGAGUUAUGCACAAGCAUGCAUCCUGCUACACGUACACAUUAUCAAAAUUGGCACAUAAUUUUAGAUGCUCUGGGAAAAGAAAGAAAGAAGAUAUCCUUUUGCUUUGGAUAUAUUUUGCAGGAAUUUUAUCUGUUGUGACAAAAGCCUGCGUUAAACUAAUAUAGGCAUACUAUUGUUGAUCCAAUGUCAGUCAUGAAUUGAACAGAAUAAUUAGAAGCAUAAGCAUUCAUCAUCAAUGUGUCUUUUUCCCACUUUGUAUUCAGGUCUUGACUGAUUGAGUAGAAAGUGGGAACUUUUCUUCUGUUUAUAAAAAUGCCAUUUGUAGUUGCACUCUUUCUUAAGAUACGCGCGCGGAGGUUUGUGCGGAAAGGAAUGUGCAUGCAAGCAACUUACCAUCCAUCAUGUGUAGGAUAAAAGGCUAGUUGCACUCAUGAUUUUUAUAGGAUAAAAGACCUCGAAGGAUACAUCAUAUGUAGCUCAUUAAAAACCAACUUACCAUAUGUAAGUUAGCAAGCCAAGAAGAAGGGAUUUAAUUCUAAAAUCCUCUUUGACUGUGGGUAGAAUGUUUGAAAUCUCGUGCUUACAGUUAAAAAAUUUCAGAGGAUGUGUGUGUUUCCUCUGAUUUAGAUGAGUCAUCUCCCUCUAGCCUCUCUCAUCAGUCAUUCCCAUCAAAAGUAAGAUGGAAGUUAUAACAUAUUAUCGUGUGUGACAAAAAUGGUGUAGGUCAUCACAUUAUUUAAGCUUUUAAGUGAAUGUGAUGCUUGUUUUUUUUUUUUUUUUUUUUUAAAGAUAAUUCGAUUGACCACAUAAAAAAAAAAGAUGGUCUUUUCUAUGGAUUUACAUGUGCAUUCUAUUUUUUUUGUUUAAAUGCUUUGAAAGAAUUGACAAAUUAAAUGGUUUCCAUUUGUAAUGAUUUUCAUCUUUGCAUGUAUGGUAGUCAGUGGCUAAAGCCUUUUUUUUCACCAAAAAAUAAGUACAAAUUUCAAUUUCAAAAAUAUUAUGUUAUUGAACAAGAAAAAAAAAACAUUUACUAUAGCAUAUAUGUAUUCAUUGUCUAGUUAGUUUAACAGUUAAAGUAACAUUUAUUAAUGUAACAUAUACUAACGUACCUCGGAAUUUUUCAGAGGGGGAAGCAACUGCCGCCCCCCCUCUCCAUUAACUUAUGAUUUCUGUUGCACAUAAACACUCCAGGAAAUUAACCAAUGGAUCCACGAUUAGUGACGCUAGCUUGUAUGCCACAAUGGAGACCACCAACUCUGCUGCAGAAAAGUCUUCAGAAAUUGAUAUUAUUGUACGACAUGACAUGAUAAACUAGAUAUAACAUUAAAUCCAUUUGCAAUCGCAUUAUGCAUCCUUUAGUCUGUUGGUGUAUUAGUACUUUUGGCAAUCUAUUCAUUCUGCAAUCUAUUUCUACUUCUUUCUGUAGUUUAUCAAUUAGCCAUUUAAACAUUAUUUUGUUUUCUAAACAAAUUUAUGCUUGUUAGUUUGACAGUCGUCUAUUAUUACUCCAUACACCACCACUCUCAUCUAAACUAAAAUUGAUGCCCCUCAUAAUGCAUUUUGCAUCAACCUCUCGAUCUUGCUUCUCAAUUUCAUUUCACAUUCCCAUGUACCUAAAAAGAGUGUUAUAGUACAAAUAAGAUUUACUUGUCAGAUUUGCAUAGCUCAUCAGGUCCCAAUCAAUUUCCUUCCAAUUCAGAAAAUAGUCCUCGAGAAUAUUUCUGAGUUAAAAAUCUCAGCCAAAGGUCGGCAGCUUCAGGAGCUGGAGAAGCUGGGCAAAAAGCAUAUUUAUCUUCAGAGAAAAACAAUCGGCGCAGCAGCACAUAGAUCUUAUUACCAAAAGGAAAGGUGUUUAUAGAUAUCUCCUUGAUAUUACAGUCCACCUACACAACACUGCAAGGAUGGUAACCUAAUUUGUACAACAUCUACCAGGAGAUUGAUUACUAAGAAAAAUAAGAGAACUCGGAAUAGACAACCCAAUCCCAAUCAGCAACACAAAGUAAACGGGAAACUUGAUCCUUCUGCUAAUUACAAACAAUGCUCUCAAAAUCCUUUUGCCUGCGUUGUACCAUU
rnacentral:lncRNA from 1 species